AUUUUUAGUGAUGUCUGAGUACUAUAUAAUAGUUAAAACUUUCAACACGGANUCUCUGGGUUCUGGCAUCGAUGAAGAACGCAGCGAAAUGCGAUAAGUAAUGUGAANUGCAGAAUUCAGUGAAUCAUCGAAUCUUUGAACGCACAUUGCGCCCGGUGGUAUCCGCCCGGGCAUGCCUGUUCGAGCGUCAUUACAACCAACAAGCUUAGCUUGGUAUUGGGGAUUGCAGUUCCUGCAGCCCUAAAGUCUAAUAGCGGUACCGUUAGGUUCUAAGCGUAGUAAAUCUUCUCGCUACAGAAUCCUCUUGGUUACUUGCCAAAACCCCCUAUUUUACAAAGGUUGACCUCGGAUCAGGUAGGGAUACCCGCUGAACUUAAGCAUAUCAAUAAGCGGAGGAAAAGAAACCAACAGGGAUUACCUCAGUAACGGCGAGUGAAGCGGUAAGAGCUCAAAUUUGAAAGCUGCCACUAGGCCGCGUUGUAAUUUGUAGAAGAUGCUUUGGGUGUUGGCCUAGUCUAAGUUCCUUGGAACAGGACGUCAUAGAGGGUGAGAAUCCCGUAUGUGAUUAGUGCCAUCCCCCGUGUAAAGCUCUUUCGACGAGUCGAGUUGUUUGGGAAUGCAGCUCAAAAUGGGUGGUAAAUUUCAUCUAAAGCUAAAUAUUGGCCAGAGACCGAUAGCGCACAAGUAGAGUGAUCGAAAGAUGAAAAGCACUUUGGAAAGAGAGUUAAACAGUACGUGAAAUUGUUGAAAGGGAAGCGCUUGCAAUCAGACUUGCAGGCGGUUGAUCAUCCGAGGUUCUCCCCGGUGCACUCGAUCGUCUUCAGGCCAGCAUCAGUUUCAGUGGUGGGAUAAAGCGCUGUGAGAAUGUGGCUUCUUCGGAGUGUUAUAGCUCACGGUGCAAUGCCGCCUACCGGGACUGAGGACCGCGCUUCGGCUAGGAUGCGGCGUAAUGGUUGUAAGCGACCCGUCUUGAAACACGGACCAAGGAGUCUAACAUCUAUGCGAGUGUUUGGGUGUCAAACCCAUACGCGUAAUGAAAGUGAACGGAGGUGAGAACCCUUUAGGGCGCAUCAUCGACCGAUCCUGAUGUCUUCGGAUGGAUUUGAGUAAGAGCAUAGCUGUUGGGACCCGAAAGAUGGUGAACUAUGCGUGAAUAGGGUGAAGCCAGAGGAAACUCUGGUGGAGGCUCGCAGCGGUUCUGACGUGCAAAUCGAUCGU
rnacentral:rRNA from 1 species